UCCCCGGUGGCUCAGACGGUAAAGCGUCUGCCUGCAAUGCGGGAGACUCCGGUUCGAUUCCUGGGUUGGGAA
rnacentral:tRNA from 1 species